AUUGAACGCUGGCGGCAGGCCUAACACAUGCAAGUCGAACGAGUGGCGGACGUGUGAGCAAUGUCUGGGAAACUGACUGAUGGAGGGGGAUAACUACUGGAAACGGUAGCUAAUACCGCAUACCUUAAGAUGUGCCCAGAUGGGAUUAGCUAGCAGGUGGGGUAAUGGCUCACCUAGGCGACGAUCCCUAGCUGGUCUGAGAGGAGGACCAGCCACACGGGAACGGAGACACGGUCCCAACUCCUACGGGAGGCAGCAGGGGGGAAUAUUGCACAAUGGGCGCAAGCCGGAUGCAGCCAUGCCGCGUGUGUGAAGAAGGCCUUCGGGUUGUAAAGCACUUGCAGCGAGGAGGCGUUACUCGCAGAAGAAGCACCGGCUAACUCCGUGCCAGCAGCCGCGGUAAUAC
rnacentral:rRNA from 1 species